ACUUUUAAUGGACAUUAGCAGUCCAAUGGUCUUAGGAGCCACAGUUCU
rnacentral:tRNA from 1 species